GCCGGAAGUAGCCGAGGAGGGUGGAGUCUAAACCUGCGCAGGAGCGGCGUGGUACCUUAGAGCUGAGCGAGCGAGCCCGACGUAGUUUCAGUUGCCCAAGAUCAACUGUGGUUCAGAAGCAGAUGCUCUUCCUUCUGACGUGUCAUCUAACAGUACAUCAGAACACCUCCAUCGUUUACCUCCCUUUAUCUCAUCACAUAGACAUUUUAUCAUUUCAUAUCACCACGAGAAGGGUGGUGGCCUCGGAAGGAGAGUGGAGUGGUCCCAAAGAAGUUUGAGAGAUGCUUAGAGCAGU